CCCACUCCAGGCCUUCACACCUUGUGGGAGUACCAAUGGUUGCAUCAUUCAGCAAUUUCAGUCUGGCAACACUAAAACAACUGCACCAAAAAGAACCGUGUCCAGAUUUCAAACCAAGCAUUGAGAUCUUCUCGCUGAAUACCCUGAGAAACUAUUAGUACUAUGUUGACUAAGAUGCCUUCUGGACCCUGGUUGAUAUUACCCUACUCAUUCCUACCUUGUGGCUAACCACAAUGCUCAAACAUGUGAAGCAUAACUCAAUGACGACUCUGGACCACUGGAUACAACAUCAACAACUGGAUGGAAAGAUAUCAAAGAAGUCUGUGGCUGCCUGGAAUUUCACAAGGAUGUUGAUGGACCAUGUGUUUUAAUACCACCCUACAGAAACACCCUUCUAAUCCAUGGAAAUCCAAAGGUCACUUUUACACCUGUCCACCCUCAAUUGCUUUAGACUCAACUCAUGAGAAUUGUAUUGCACUCAAUAUUGUAAAUUACACCAAUACAACAUACAUCACAUUUGGUAUUAUAUUGUGUCAGUAAACAAUAUGAACAGAAAACACAUUUCACAAAUCUAACACUGCUACCACUAACACCUUUCACAAUCAUUUCCAUUUUUACCAUUUUUUUUCUUUUUUACAUUUCAUUAUAAUACAUGUAUUAAAUCUGCAGACAUUGUACUAUCAUUUCACAGUUAUUUCAGUUGAAUUAUUUGUAUAUUUCUUUAUAAUACAUGUGUUACCUGCAUUUGUAUAUACAAAUAGUUACUUUAUCUAUAUACACAAAAAGCUACUUAACAAAAAAUGCCAUAUGUAAUGUUUUUUAUCUUUUAACAUUGAUACAAGUUUUCAAC